UACGUAGGUGGCAAGCGUUGUCCGGAAUUAUUGGGCGUAAAGCGCGCGCAGGCGGUCGUCUAAGCCUACCGUGAAAGCCCCCGGCUCAACCGGGGAGGGUCGGUGGGGACUGGGCGACUUGAGGACGGCAGGGGCUGGUGGAAUCCCCGGUGUAGUGGUGAAAUGCGUAGAGAUCGGGGGGAACACCCGUGGCGAAGGCGGCCAGCUGGGCCGGUCCUGACGCUGAGGCGCGAAGGCGUGGGGAGCGAACGGG
rnacentral:rRNA from 1 species